rnacentral:lncRNA from 14 species
UUUCCUCAGAGCAACGUGUUGCUUCUCUUUAGGGUUAAGUGGUUUAACACAAGCUGGAUGACGUGCCAGAACUCGAUCUGUUUUCCUUGUUUAAAACCCUGUGGUGACGGUGAACUAAAACUUCCAAGCGUUCUGGCUCAGUAGCUGCACGUUUUGAGGCUCGUUUGCCUCUUUCUGCCUUCUGGAAACCACUUCCAAAGUGCUGCGGUUAACACCAAGCUGCCAGGGAAUUCUGCAACAAGUUCUUCCUGCGAUAACUGGUAACUUUUUCCAGCUGGAGUAGCCCACUUGCAACCCUUCACUGCUUGUGUUUCACAAAGUAGUGUGUGUCUGUUCCCCUUAGUGAUGUGCACACAUGGGUUAAUUGUCCCAUAAACUCCACAGUGAAAUCAAGGACAUCAGUUCAUCAUAUCAAAAUACUCCUGUGGAUGAAGGCUGUGUAACCCCUGCUUGGCAAAUCAUCAACCCUGAGCUAACCUCCCCCUGGUGCAGGGGCUGAUAUUUCCUUGAACAUCAAACACCUCUUGGUUAAUGAGGAGAAACCGAAAGCUGAUCCUGUUGUGGUUUCGUCGUGACUCAGCUCGAUGUCUAAAGCUGUGAACGAAACUGCUGGCUGGGCCUCCAAAGCAGAUGUGUUUACAGCCCUGGGAUCUCAACCACAGCACCUCCUCUGGCUGCAGCUGAGCUGGUGGUCUCUGAUUCACCACAACUGCUGCUUAUCUGUGUCCUGUUGGCUCCCCAUGUGUGGAGGGUUUCUCAGGUCUGCUGCUGGGGCUGUUUGUGUGCAGGCUUCUAACCCAUGCUGGUUGUAGCAGGCUUACCAAUGACUUUACAUCAGACACUAACUUAAGAAGCAGCUUUUGGGUUAUUCAUGUGGCCUGUUUGGAUGGGAGCCUCUUGAGCUGGUGGUGAUGUGUGGCCUUCUCGUAGAUACUCACAGAUACUUGGGAACCUUGCCUGCAUCUUCAUGAGCCCAUCAUCAAGCCAGGCAGCCCCAACUGAAACAGAACUUGGCCACUGCUGUUCCUGGAGUCAGUGUCAGCCCUUCUUGGGUACUUCAUCCUUCAGUACUGUGACAUUGCUGGGGGUGUAUUUCUGCUGUUUGUAUGUCUGUCACUUCUGCUUUAAUGGGAUGUUGCAGGCCAGCUUGCUUGGUGUUACAGUAAAACGAUUUAAGGAACCAAAGGCAGAGAGGCGUCCCUGGAGAAUAUGGUGAGACUUUAAUUUGGAGAUUGAUUAGACCAUGUAUAUAUAAUACUAUUUUCUCUUGUACUGACAACCUUCUAGGCCCUCUGAAUAUCAUAGAAGUCCAGAGUGAUUUGUGUUGGAACGGACCUUAAAGCUCAUCCAGCUCCAACC